rnacentral:rRNA from 1 species
AGUGAACGCUGGCGGUAGGCCUAACACAUGCAAGUCGAACGGCAGCACAGUAAGAGCUUGCUCUUACGGGUGGCGAGUGGCGGACGGGUGAGGAAUACAUCGGAAUCUACUUUUUCGUGGGGGAUAACGUAGGGAAACUUACGCUAAUACCGCAUACGACCUACGGGUGAAAGCAGGGGAUCUUCGGACCUUGCGCGAUUGAAUGAGCCGAUGUCGGAUUAGCUAGUUGGCGGGGUAAAGGCCCACCAAGGCGACGAUCCGUAGCUGGUCUGAGAGGAUGAUCGGCAACACUGGAACUGAGACACGGUCCAGACUCCUACGGGAGGCAGCAGUGGGGAAUAUUGGACAAUGGGCGCAAGCCUGAUCCAGCCAUACCGCGUGGGUGAAGAAGGCCUUCGGGUUGUAAAGCCCUUUUGUUGGGAAAGAAAAGCAGCAGGUUAAUACCCCGCUGUUCUGACGGUACCCAAAGAAUAAGCACCGGCUAACUUCGU